rnacentral:tRNA from 1 species
UCUCCAGUGGCGCAGUUGGUUAGCGCAUGGUACUUAUAUGACAGUAACUGGUUGCGUUGAUGAAUUGUCACUUAAGUAAAGCAAUGCCGAGGUCGCGAGUUCGAGCCUCGCCUGGAGAA